GGGGGCCCGCACAAGCGGUGGAGCAUGUGGUUUAAUUCGAUGCAACGCGAAGAACCUUACCUGGUCUUGACAUCCACGGAAGUUUUCAGAGAUGAGAAUGUGCCUUCGGGAACCGUGAGACAGGUGCUGCAUGGCUGUCGUCAGCUCGUGUUGUGAAAUGUUGGGUUAAGUCCCGCAACGAGCGCAACCCUUAUCCUUUGUUGCCAGCGGUCCGGCCGGGAACUCAAAGGAGACUGCCAGUGAUAAACUGGAGGAAGGUGGGGAUGACGUCAAGUCAUCAUGGCCCUUACGACCAGGGCUACACACGUGCUACAAUGGCGCAUACAAAGAGAAGCGACCUCGCGAGAGCAAGCGGACCUCAUAAAGUGCGUCGUAGUCCGGAUUGGAGUCUGCAACUCGACUCCAUGAAGUCGGAAUCGCUAGUAAUCGUGGAUCAGAAUGCCACGGUGAAUACGUUCCCGGGCCUUGUACACACCGCCCGUCACACCAUGGGAGUGGGUUGCAAAAGAAGUAGGUAGCUUAACCUUCGGGAGGGCGCUUACCACUUUGUGAUUCAUGACUGGGGUGAAGUCGUAACAAGGUAACCGUAGGGGAACCUGCGGUUGGAUCACCUCCUUACCUUAAAGAAGC
rnacentral:rRNA from 2 species